rnacentral:lncRNA from 10 species
UUUUGGAGGCUAGAAGUAAAGAAGUCAAGGUGUUGUAAGGGGAGUGCUGUCACUAAAACAGGUUAUUUGAUAAUUAUCAAGCACUGUUCCAAGAAUGAGGAUUUCAGUAUUAGGAAUUCAGGAGCAGUUUGGUUUGACAGUUCUGAUUCUAGGAUUUUCAUGAGGUUGGCGUCAGAUCUCAGCUGGAGCUGCAGGCAUCUGAUGGUUUGAAGUUGGAGGAUCCAUCCCCAAGGAAAACAAAACAAAACUUCUGGAAUGCCUCUUCAUCUGUACUGUAUCCUUGACAGAAUUCCUAUUGAGUGGUUUUCAUAUUUAACAACAGAUCCAAUUUUGUCAAAUAAAUUCUUACAUGGAACUCCAAUCCGUUGAAUUAGAAGAAAAGUUAGUAUAAGUUAUUUCAAGUUUAAUAGUUUUAGUUGUUAAUUUAUUUCUUAAUUUUGUCUUUCAGGGCACAGUGUUGAGAAAUCAUUUACACAGACAAAAAAUUGCAACUGAUUUUUAACUAUUUCUGCGUGCUAUCUUCCUACAUUUUCCAAUUAAAUUCUGAUAGUUCGACAAGAACUGAUUUCUAUUUUUCAAAAUUAUAUCACUAACUUACCAAUAUUCAACUAGUGCUUGCUUUCAAUGAUUGGUUAAUAUUGGCUCUGAAAACGUUCCUUUGCCAACAUAAAUGUUCAUUAAGAAUUUUUCAAAAAUGUCAAAAAAAUACCACCUCAGUUUCAACUAUGAAGUAACAAUUUAAUAUUUCAAAACAGUCAUAUUUAUUUUUCCUUGCUGUUAAAAUCAAACUUUAGCUUCAAUUUUAAGGCGGGCAUUCUAUAUACAUUUAAAAGUAGGUAAUUUUGUGAGUGUGAAUUGGACUUACUUAGAUUACUAAAAUUAGCAGCAAAAUAUAUAACCUGUUUCCACAACAUCUGGAGUUUAAGUAUUAACACUGUAAAAUAUUAUCUGAAUUUCUCAUAUUUUAAACUAUCAUAUGGACAAUAGAACAGAUUCCACUAUAAAAAUAAUUUUUAAAUCACUUCAAGUAGGAUUACAUGUAACUCUGAAUGAAAUGCAGUUAAAACAUAAAACAUAAUAAAAAUAUAACUAGUGUAGUGUUUGCUGACAGUAUUUGCCUAGCAAAUUUCCUUAAUCAGGGAUCUUUUUAAUGAAACACAAUGAUGGUUCAUACAUAAUAAAAGUCUCAUACGUGCUUUUUUGCUUAGAUAGUUUUCAAAUUUUUAAUACAGCUUUCAUUACACUUUUGAUACCUUACUUGAUAAAAUAUUUUUAAACGCAAAUGCUUAAACACUGUAAAUAUUUUUUCUUAAUUUUUAUGAUUACCUGGAAAAUAAUGAGAACAGUAACAUCUGAAGCCUCUUCCACCUGAAUGAUGAAGAUGUCAAAUAUUCUCAGCCUCAAAUUAAUGUGUCAAGUACAUUGGAUUUGUAUCUUUGUGUUCUUUCCUAUCUUCUUAAAAAAUUGUGCUAAUUACAUUUUCAAAAAUUGUUGUUUUUCUAACAUAUUGGUUACAAUAUCAAUAUAUGUGGCUUAAUAAAAUAGUCUCUGAGAACAUGUGCUUUUCUGAAUGUGUCAGGUGGCAGCUUGCUUUUAACAAUAUUGUAAGUUUUUAUAAUCAGAUUUAAAUUGUGUUUAUCUAAAAUAUUUAUGAACAUUGAAUUUAUGGUGAACAAAGCAGAGUCUUCUUUCAAAUCGCAUGUAGUUAUGUUUCAAAUAUGUGAAAUUUUUGAAUACUUCAUUAAAAUUUUAUUUUAAUAGAACACAUUAAAU